rnacentral:rRNA from 1 species
GGUUUCCGUAGGUGAACCUGCGGAAGGAUCAUUGUCGAGCCUCGGCCACUGGAAACCCAAGAGGUCCUCCGUGCACGUGUACGCAACCAAAAGUGGGGCGGGCUUCGAGGACUUCCGGCGGCACGUCGUGGGCGUGUCCCUGCGAAGCCCCGGUUCGCGACCCCGCGCACGCAUGUCUCGGGCACACUUUCGCCCGGAGCAGAGCGAUCGAACUCCCGCGAGGCGCCGACUUAGCGCCAAGGGUCCAACCGAUGGGAUGAAUGGGCGACCCUCCUUUCCCGUGGGGAGGGUGAGGUCCCUGAUCCGAGCGAGCGCGAUGCGCGCCUUCAACGAAACGACUCGCGGCAACGGAUAUCUCGGCUCUCGCAUCGAUGAAGAACGUAGCGAAAUGCGAUACUUGGUGUGAAUUGCAGGAUCCCGUGAACCAUCGAGUCUUUGAACGCAAGUUGCGCCCGAGGCAUCUUUGCCGAGGGCACGCCUGCCUGGGCGUCACGCAUAACGUCGCGCCCAUCCAACCGUUCGGAGCGCACCGCUCCGCUCUGUCGAGGGAUGGGGCGUGGAGUUGGCCCCCCGAGCGCUCAGACAGUUCGGCCGGCUCAAACGCGAUGUGUCCUCCCAGUUGCAUCGGACGCCACGAGCGUUGGCCGUUUUAUCCUGGCGCCUUCGCACGGUGUGGCGUCCGUAGGUGUGUUAUCUGGGAGCCCGAUCGACCGACCCUUGACCGCGCGCGAUUUCGUGGGCUUCGACCGCGACCCCAGGUCAGGCGGGAUAACCCGCUGAGUUUAAGCAUAUCAAUAA